CUCAGCUUUUCUCCUAUUAUGUCACAAGCUGCUAUGGAGAGAAGGUCAAGACUGUAAAGUAAGGAGCUACCAUCAGAAUAUGGAUUUGGCCUGUGGUUCAUUCCUUUGCCAGGACAAGAAAUUCUUGGAUGAUCAAAAGCAGGGUGCAAGCCAGUUCAUCUGGAUUGUGCAUUAGGACAACAGCAAGCAAAAAUCCCUGCCUAACUGAAGUGACUGGAAACAGGCCAGUGAAGGAACAAGAGCAAUGCUACCUGCCUGGAAGGGCCAGUCCCAGGUCUCAGUCUGGUUGAAAGGCGGUGUGUACAUUGUAACCUUGAAUACUUGAGAGAAUGCACACACUAAGCAGAAGUGUCCCAAAGCCUGUUCUGUGUCUGAGCUGCUCUGUAUGGGCUGGCAUCUCAGGAGGCAGUGCUACCGUGCUGCACUUUAGGACUCGGUAUCUGUGUAUGUCAGAGUAAGGCAACUGUCCCUAGCCUCAAGCUGAUAUGUAUGUAAUUCUGUCUGAACACAAGGAAACUUAUGUAAUGAGAGUGAUUAAACACUGGAAAAGACUGCCUGUAGAGGCUGAAAAUCUCCAUCCUUGUGACUGUUAGACCCAACUGGAGGAGACCAGACUAGAGCUAGACUGCUCUAGCUGAUCCCACUUGAGCAGGCUGCUGCUCUGGAUGAGUUCCUGAAGUCCCUUCCAACCUCACUGUUGUUGUGAUUAUGUGCCUAUGUUACAGAGAUCUUUGGGGUUGAAGAAGGAGA
rnacentral:lncRNA from 1 species